GGGUCUUUAAAGUAAACCCUUCAUAGAUAUGAGUCUAUGAAGAAAGCCCUUCAGAGAUAUGGGUUCUUGAAGAAGACCAUUGAUCAUAGCUAUGGAUUCUUGAAGAAAACCCUCUUUUCUUUUUCUAUUUUUUGACAUAUAACCUUUUCUUUUUCAACUUCUUUGUUCAACUGGAUCAUGUUUUAAGUUUCUUGUUCUAUCAUUAAACCUAAUCACUAUAUGUAGCUUAACCUUCCACUUUUAUUUUCUUGCUGGAGAAAUGAAAGCAGAUCUCAAAAAAAGAAAGUGGUUUAUGGGCCCCUUGAUGGUUUGAGAAUCUUGAUGAUGCUGCAGCGGCAAUUGCUGGCUAAUUAUGAUCUUUAAAACUGGAUUAUGGUGUUGCAGUCAUAUAAGAAAAAGCAAAUCUCACCUGGUGAAUUGAUGAGUGUGUCUGUACUCUGAACAUGAGUGGAUUAGCAACUUGUACUGUACAACAGGAUAUCAUGGGAUGCUUUUGAAGAGAUACCAUUAGGUGUUGCAGGAUAUCAUGAUGGUCUACUUUGUGUUCUUGGAUUUGCUAUGUGAAGAGAUCCCAUUACUAGAUUUUAAUUGUCAUUGUUUAUAUCUUUAACUAGCUACAACUAGUUUUUUUUUACUGUUAUUAAUUAUAUUAUUAGGGUUAG
rnacentral:lncRNA from 1 species